GAAGAGUACGGUACUUUGGUCCGUUGUUCUUCCACUGUGGUCCUUGUUCUUAGCUUCAGCACAGUCACUCAGUUUAGAGGAGGAGGACCACCGGCUGAUGCAGGCUGCUCUAACUCCCCCAGGAAGGUGAGGGGCUUGAGACGUGGUGGAUGGAAGACCCAGGCAGUGCAAGUGCGAGCGGGGCGCCAGACUGGAGAUUUUUGUUCAUUUUUUUUAAUUUGGGGUGUAGCUUGGCUGGAC